AAGGAAUAUUUGUCAAUGGACGCAAGUCUGAACCAGCCAUGCCGCGUGGAGGAUGAGGGUCCUCUGGAUUGUAAACUUCUUUUAUCUGGGACGAAACACUUCUUUUCUAAGAGGCCUGACGGUACCAGAUGAAUAAGCACCGGCUAACUCCGUGCCAGCAGCCGCGGUAAUACGGAGGGUGCAAGCGUUAUCCGGAUUCACUGGGUUUAAAGGGUGCGUAGGUGGGUAUGUAAGUCAGUGGUGAAAUCCCCGAGCUUAACUUGGGAACUGCCAUUGAUACUAUAUAUCUUGAAUACCGUAGAGGUAAGCGGAAUAUGUCAUGUAGCGGUGAAAUGCUUAGAUAUGACAUGGAACACCAAUUGCGAAGGCAGCUUACUAUGCGGUGAUUGACACUGAGGCACGAAAGCGUGGGUAGCAAAC
rnacentral:rRNA from 1 species